CAGUAGCCGCGGGAAUACGAAGGGUGCAAGCGUUAAUCGGAAUUACUGGGCGUAAAGCGUGCGUAGGCGGUGAGUUAAGUCUGCUGUGAAAUCCCCGGGCUCAACCUGGGAAUGGCAGUGGAUACUGGCUUGCUAGAGUGUGUCAGAGGAUGGUGGAAUUCCCGGUGUAGCGGUGAAAUGCGUAGAGAUCGGGAGGAACAUCAGUGGCGAAGGCGGCCAUCUGGGACAACACUGACGCUGAGGCACGAAAGCGUGGGAGCAAACGGGAUUAGAUACCCGCGUAGUCCCUGUCUCUUAUACA
rnacentral:rRNA from 1 species